AGUCAAGUAUGACUGCCACAGAGAAAUGGUCCCAUCCAGGAAAUCAGAUAUUGAGUCCUACCUGAGUUUCCAGCAAGAAGGUACGGACUUGCUGUUAGGAUGGGAAUUAUGGAUCAGGAAUUGCCCUGAGAUGGGGUCCUGGUAACAGAUAGACUCUAGGAUAGGAUUCCCUCCUGGGGAUUGCGGCAGAGUGUACUUGCAAGUGGAGCCUUGAAGGUGUCUUUGCUCAGUUCAAAAGCCACAGAAGAAGUUCUGGACGAUGUGGGCCUUCAAUCUUCUAAGAUGGGAAUAGAAAGAAGAGGAUCUACCCAGACCAGGACCCUGCUGCCCAAUCUCAGCUCUGGCUUUCUGGAUCUGUGCUUCUCUGGUAGAGGAACCCUGAGGACUGAUCUACUCUUGCAGUUCUAAAACCAUGGCCCAUGACAUGACUUUUCUAAGCCAGAUGUAAUUACAUCAUUGGAGCAAGGAAAAGAGCCCUGGAUGAUUGUAAGGGAAGAAAAAGGAAGAUGGUGUACAGGCCUCGCUAUUCCCUGGGACACAACAAUAUUGAACGUAGG
ensembl:lncRNA novel transcript